rnacentral:rRNA from 1 species
CCUUACCCGCUGAACUUAAGCAUAUCACUAAGCGGAGGAAAAGAAACUAACUAGGAUGGCCUUAGUAAGGGCGACUGAAGAGGCCAGAGCCCAAGAUGGAAAUCACCGUGCAGCGUGCGGCGAAUUGUAAUCUUGAGACGGACAGCUCAAAGGAUAGCGGCGCAGAACAGUCUGGAAAUGCUGGCCAUAGAGGGUGAUAGCCCCGUACGUGGCGCCGGUAUCUAACGAGCGUUUGUUCAAAGAGUCGGGUUGUUUGAUAUUGCAGCCCUAAGCGGGAGAUAAACUUCUUCUAAGGCUAAAUAUAUGUGGGAAACCGAUAGCGAACAAGUACUGUGAAGGAAAGAUGAAAAGCACUUUGGAAAGAUUGUUAAAAGACCUGAAACCGUUGAGGAGGAAGCGGUAGAGGAGUAUAAUACUUUGAGGCGCUGAUCCGGAGAUUAGUCGAAGGGGUGUGCUGAGAAGUGAGGCCGGAUGGAGCGGAGCCUCCGUAAAGGUGCGUAGGUCAGUUGCUUCGGCGUAAGCCUGCGUAACCAGCGGAGACUCGGCUUGAGGGGCUAUGUGCGAUCCGGUCAAAAUGGCCUUUACCGGCUCGUCUUGAAACACGAACCAAGGAGUCUAACGUACACGCGAGUGUGAGGGCGGAAAAACCUUCACGCGCAAUGAAAGUGAGAGAUGCCAAAUUUGCAGCAUCAACCGACCAAGUUUUCGGAUGAGGUUUGAGUAAGAGCGUGUCCGCUAGGACCCGAAAGAUGGUGAACUAUGCCUGCGUAGGGUGAAGUCAGGGGAAACUCUGAUGGAAGCUCGUAGCGAUACUGACGUGCAAAUCGUUCGUCUAACGUGGGUAUAGGGGCGAAAGACUAAUCGAACCAUCUAGUAGCUGGUUCCCUCCGAAGUUUCCCUCAGGA